UACGUAGGGGGCGAGCGUUAAUCGGAAUUACUGGGCGUAAAGUGUGCGCAGGUGGCCGCGCAAGUCGAGUGUGAAAUCCCCGAGCUUAACUUGGGAAUUGCGCUCGAAACUACGUGGCUCGAGUGUGGCAGAGGAAGGUGGAAUUCCCGGUGUAGCAGUGAAAUGCGUAGAGAUCGGGAGGAACACCAGUGGCGAAGGCGGCCUUCUGGACCAAUACUGACGCUCAUGCACGAAAGCGUGGGGAGCAAACAGG
rnacentral:rRNA from 1 species